GUUUCGGAACUUUUCCGUUCUUUCGACUACGGUGCAGUAAGAACCAGGGUGUCAAAAGAACUGGGUGGUCCUGGACAGUGAUGCUAGCUCACAUGUCCGUGACCCUAAGUCACUGAAGAACUCUGGUGCUUACAGCUAAAUAUAUUUGGCUUUAAAAUUAUUUAAAUUAUUAUCCCGAUCAAAUUAAAAUCUAAAGGGCUGAGGUAGGAUAGAGUAAGGUCCUGGACUGUAACUAAAGCUUGCAAGUCCGUGCCCUGAAAAACCACCCAGCUCUUCACUAACCUUUAGUCUUAGAACAAGAACGUUUAUAGUGCUUGUAAUUUAUCAAUUUAGACUUUCAUAAUAUUUUUCUCUCUAAGGGGAAAAGCGUUGCUCUUGUGUUAGAUUAGUUAAGUGAUAGUUGCAUUGUGAGAAUGUUAACGAUGUUAUUUUAAAUUUGAAUUAACCUUUAAUCGGUUUCUUAAUAUUAAUUUCUAAAUCUGUGCGAUAUAUCUGUACGAUUAAGAAUUUUUUGACACAGAAAUUAUUAAUUUAAAAUAUAGUUUUGAAGAUUCUGGAAGCAGUGUAAAGCAAGCAUUCAUGAAAGCACAUGUGUACAAUGAGCUUCGUAAGCUGUAUAAAUCUGUUAUUAACAACUGCAUUGAACUGUAUAGAAUUUGCGGUAUGCAUCUGCCAAGUGAACAAAUCCUCCUUAAUGUUCAGAAUAUUAAAAUAAAUUGUGAACUGAACAAGAAGCCGGCCGAGUGAAUAAAGAGGAUUGAUUACAUUAAUGAGGAUUUCAAAGUAUUUAAAAGAAUCUAAUAACUUUGAGAGGAAGAGUAGUCUCUGAAGAUUCUAAAGUCCUUGGCCCACAAACAUCUGUAGAGUUGAUCAAUCAUUCGUUCUGAUGUGUUUGUUGACCUAGAAUUACUACGAAUGGUAUUUCAAUAGUAUAGCAAAAAUUUCAAUGUGUCAAAUUAAUAAACUUUUGCUUUUUAGUGUUAACCUAUUUUAAGUCACCGAAAUAGUUUAAUUCCAUGAGGAAGAAAUUAAAAUUAAGUUGAGUGGAUAUGAGCCAGAUUUAGUAAUUUUUUAACGGAUGAAAACACCGAUGUAAAGAUUGGAAAAUGCUGCAAAAUAUAUAGUUAAAUUUAAAACUUGUUCGAUUUAAAGAGUAUUCAAAGUGUUUACCAUUAUUUUUAUAUAUUGAUUUAUACUUCUGAUCGUUUCAUUUCUAAAUUAAAACUGAACUGGAUUUCUAUCUUUGUUUGCUUUCUUUUGAUUUUUGUUAAAAUCAACAUCUUUUGGAAUUGAUAAAAGAGUUAAAAUAUGGAUAAAAAUUAAAGCGCAAAAUAAAAAUUAAUAAUAUGUAAGCCAUUGAAGCAUUUUCUCUUAUUCUGAUAACAUAAAAAGUACUUCUUAUAUUUAAUAUUGUAUAUAUAUACUAAUAUACUACUUACUAGUAUGCUACAAAUAUAUAAUAUAUACUAACUGUACUAUCACUUGUAUUUAACUAAUCUACUGUGAUACGUUUAUUACUGCAGAUAUUCUAAUAUUGUUCAAUGAUUUAAUUUAUCUCAAACAAUAUUAGUUUUGAAUAUAGGUUUUAUCUGCCUUAUUAUUGGAUUAAAUUAUGCUUAAUUCAGCCUUUUUUGUGUGCAUCGGUACUGCUUCUGUCUCUGGUAUUUUUCAGAAUCUUCUUGAUAUGCUGCUGAUGUGAACCCGCUUUGGGGAGCUGAAAUUGCAAAAGAUGGAAAGUUUCGAAGAAAGCAUCUGACUAAUCUCUGAAAAGCGGAAGUUGUUUUCAGAUGUGUUGCUGCCUACUUUCAAUUAACUUGCUGGCCUAGUAGAAAAUGAAUUUUGCGCCAUUCUCCAAAUUCAAGUGUUGCCGAGAUUGAAAAGGAAAUUGAAAGGGCCAUUUUGUAUUUGUCAAAUGAGAUGAGACUGAUCUGUUCCUCGAAGAUGAUUUCAUUCCCAAAGAUGUGGCUAAAGUUAGAAUCGCAGAACUUUCUGGUCUACGUAAGAUAUCCUGAUUCGUGCGUUAAAAUUCCCAUACCGUCGAGCUAACCGUGGAAGGUUUUCAUGGUUCCCUCUCCAUGUAACGCAAAUGCGGGUUAGUUGCAGCAUAAGUCCUCCAUGAAGGCUAUUUCGAUCCAGGAGUUCUCUCGUCUUCUGGUUUCGUUUCAAGUGUGCGAUCGUAUGGAGCUGAACAGUCAUAAUCGUAAACCCAGAAAUGGGUCUGCCAUCCAACCCUGGUUGAGCAGCAAAUUAAAUUCAGUUGGAUAUCUCUUUUUGCACUAAGCUAACUUGUUGAAAGUUUUCGAGAACAGACCUCCGUGGUUCCUACUCUAAACCCUGCAAUGACAAUUUCUUUCGAAUUAAAUGUUUACAUAAUUGUCAUACUGACCGUGACCUAUUUUUAUUGUAGGAAAGUAAAAUUAUUUUUUGAAGAAACGUAAACAUAAUCUUGUCAAAUGUUUCAAAGUUCAUGUAUUUCCAGAGAUUUUAUUUUGUGUUAUUCAAUGUAAUAGCAGUACCUGUUUUUUACUGUUAGAAUGAAGCAGUAAAAGCUUUGGUGGCCAAGAACCGACCUGCGCUCACAGAGUGAGGUUAUUAAGUGCGGCAAUCGGUAAUAAUGUAGGAAUAAUUUAAUGGUUCAAAAGUUUUCUAUACUUUUUGUAUCUUAAAUGUUUUUGGAAAUAACUCGUUUCUGUAGUAAAAAAGAUAAAUGUAGAUCCAAUCAGUAUUUAUGAAAUUAAAAUUUCCGACGAAAAUUUCUUAACUUUUAUUUUAAAAUCCAUUUAAAAAGUAUUUAAUUCAUGGAAAUAUCUUUAUUUGCGAGACAAAAUGAAAUUCCAAAUUUAUGUUGAAUUAUACUGUCAAAUAUUUUUGUAUUCACUACUGGUUAUAAAAGUCAAAUUUUCAUUAGAAACCUCAAAUCCUUGAUAUUUUUUCUAACCUUAAUUAAAAAUGCGUAUCUGAUAAGUAAACCCUUAAACUCAUUUAAAGAAUUAAUAAGCAAUUUUAAUUCACUCUUUAUAGAUACUCCGGCAAAUCGAAUUUUUCGCACCGAAUUUGUUUUAAAUGAUUUAAACAUCUGAAAUAUAUCAUUCUCACUUUGUAAGAGCAUGAAGGUUAUAGUAAAUUUAUAACAAGUAUAUUUAUUAAACUAAAAAAUGAGAUUGCUUAAGUUGUCAUUUUGUAUCAAAAUAAAUUCAGUCAUGAUUUCCCGAAGCUUUUACUGUUCCAGUUUUUUGUCUGUUCUUUCAGAAAAAAGUUUCAAGAUUUGAAUUUCAUUUACUGUAAUAUAUUUCCAUUCAGAACCAAAAUUUUUUACUCGUAACUUUGUCAUUUAAACGUUACAGUUUUUUAAAAAUACUUUAUGAGUAAACGAGUUGUGUAUAAAACCAAAGGCUAUGUGAAAGUUCUAAACGUUUUUUUUCCUUCAUAGUUUGCUGUUUUAAUUAUUCUACUUUAAAGUGGUAGCAAAUAUUGAUAUUGUAUGAUAUUUUUGUUAUUGUGUUAAUUGUUUUUAGCUUUGCAUUGUAGAUGUUGUUCCAUUGUGUUAUUUAUGUUCUUUUACAUAAUGCAUAGAUACAUGCAAUUCUGUGUCUUGUUCUACUCUUAUUAGCCAUGAAUAAAUAGCUUAUUCUUGA